AUUGAACGCUGGCGGCAGGCCUAACACAUGCAAGUCGAGCGGAGCGGCGGACGGGUGAGUAAUGCCUAGGAAUCUGCCUGGUAGUGGGGGAUAACGUCCGGAAACGGGCGCUAAUACCGCAUACUAUCAGAUGAGCCUAGGUCGGAUUAGCUAGUUGGUGGGGUAAAGGCCUACCAAGGCGACGAUUCGUAACUGGUCUGAGAGGAUGAUCAGUCACCCGGGAAUGGAGAUGAGGUCCAGACCCCAACGGGACGCAGCAGUGGGGAAUAUUGUACAAUGGGAGAAAGCGUGGUCCAGACAUGCCGCGUGUGUGCAGAAGGUCUUCGGAUUGUAAAGCACUUGAAGUUGGGAGGCGUUACCAACAGAAUAAGCACCGGCUAACUUCGUGCCAGCAGCCGCGGUAAUUC
rnacentral:rRNA from 1 species